rnacentral:rRNA from 1 species
GAUGAACGCUGGCGGCGUGCUUAAUACAUGCAAGUCGAACGAAGGGUUAGCAAUAACUCUUAGUGGCGAACGGGUGAGUAACGCGUUGGUGACCUGCCCCGAAGCGAGGGAUAACAGUUCGAAAGGACUGCUAAUACCCCAUGAGGUCUUAGAGGUUAGAGGCUUUAAGACGAAAGGAGUAAUCCACUUCGGGAGGGGCCUGCGUCCCAUCAGCUAGUUGGUAGGGUAAUGGCCUACCAAGGCGACGACGGGUAGGGGACCUGAGAGGGUGACCCCCCACACUGGCACUGAAACACGGGCCAGACACCUACGGGUGGCAG